GAUGAAGAACGUAGCGAAAUGCGAUAAGUAAUGCGAAUUGCAGAAUUCAGUGAAUCAUCGAAUCUUUGAACGCACAUUGCGCCCGCCAGUAUUCUGGCGGGCAUGCCUGUUCGAGCGUCAUUUCAACCAUCAAGCCCCAGGCUUGUGUUGGGGUCCUGCGGCUGCCGCAGGCCCUGAAAAACAGUGGCGGGCUCGCUGUCACACCGAGCGUAGUAGCAUACAUCUCGCUCUGGGCGUGCUGCGGGUUCCGGCCGUUAAACCACCUUCAUAACCCAAGGUUGACCUCGGAUCAGGUAGGAAGACCCGCUGAACUUAAGCAUAUCAAUAAGCGGAGGA
rnacentral:misc_RNA from 1 species